GGUGGAGUGGUGGAGUGGUUUGAGCAAUGAACUAUAACUCUGGAGAUCAGGGUUUGAAUCCCUGCUUGGCCA